GAAAAUGAAAACUUCAAAGCUGCUAACUUUGAAUAUUGCAUAAAUUGUAACAUUUUCU
rnacentral:tRNA from 1 species